UUACCUUCGGGUAUUGAGGAUGGCGGACGGGUGAGUAACGCGUAAGGAACUUGCCUCUUGGUCUGGGACAACUGUUGGAAACGACAGCUAAUACCGGAUAUUAUGAGAUUCUCGCAUGGGAAACUUAUGAAAGCUAUAUGCGCCAAGAGAGAGCCUUGCGUUCCAUUAGCUAGUUGGUGGGGUAACGGCCCACCAAGGCGACGAUGGAUAGCCGGCCUGAGAAGGUGAACGGCCACAAGGGGACUGAGACACGGCCCUUACUCCUACGGGAGGCAGCAGUGGGGAAUAUUGGACAAUGGGCCACAAGCCUGAUCCAGCAAUUCUGUGUGCACGAUGAAGGUCUUCGGAUUGUAAAGUGCUUUCAGUUGGGAAGAAGAAAGUGACGGUACCAACAGAAGAAGCGACGGCUAAAUACGUGCCAGCAGCCGCGGUAAUACGUAUGUCGCAAGCGUUAUCCGGAUUUAUUGGGCGUAAAGCGCGUCUAGGCGGAAAAAUAAGUCUGAUGUUAAAAUGCGGGGCUCAACUCCGUAUUGCGUUGGAAACUGUUUUUCUAGAGUACUGGAGAGGUGGGCGGAACUACAAGUGUAGAGGUGAAAUUCGUAGAUAUUUGUAGGAAUGCCGAUGGAGAAGUCAGCUCACUGGACAGAUACUGACGCUAAAGCGCGAAAGCGUG
rnacentral:rRNA from 1 species